rnacentral:tRNA from 2 species
GCCCUUGUAGUUUAAUGGAUAAAACAAGAAUCUCCUAAGUUCUAGAUCCAGGUUCGAUUCCUGGCGAGGGCA